rnacentral:rRNA from 1 species
AUUGAACGCUGGCGGCAUGCCUAACACAUGCAAGUCGAACGGAGAUAGGGGCAACCUUAUUUCAGUGGCGGACGGGUGAGGAAUGCGUCGGAAUCUGCCCUAUGGUGGGGGAUAACACAGGGAAACUUGUGCUAAUACCGCAUAAUGUCGAGAGACCAAAGCAGGGGACCGCAAGGCCUUGCGCGAUAGGAUGAGCCGACGCCCGAUUAGCUUGUUGGUAGGGUAAUGGCCUACCAAGGCGACGAUCGGUAGCUGGUCUGAGAGGAUGAUCAGCCACACUGGGACUGAGACACGGCCCAGACUCCUACGGGAGGCAGCAGUGGGGAAUAUUGGACAAUGGGCGCAAGCCUGAUCCAGCAAUACCGCGUGUGUGAAGAAGGCCUGCGGGUUGUAAAGCACUUUCAGUUGGGAAGAUAAUGACGUUACCAACAGAAGAAGCACCGGCUAAACUCCGUGCCAGCAGCCGCGGUAAAGU